CAUGCAGCCUGCUUCAGGCACUGGAAGGUGCUGUAAGGCCUCCCCAGAGCCUCCUCUUCUCCAGGCUGAACAGCUACAGCUCUCUCAGUCUGUCUUCACAGGAGAGGUGCUCCAGCCAUCU